GUCAAUGUUCGUAGGUUAACAUCUGUAGCCUGGUGAGUUUGGUCAGAGUCUUCUCUGCCCAACACGCGGAUGCCUUCUCCUCAGUUUUCCUUUCCGUCCCCUCUGCCACUCCAGGUCAUGCUUUUUCUUGUCUGCAACUUCACCGGCGAAUCUAUUUUUAUACUCUCCGAACCCAUUCUUCUUCUCCGUCUUCUGUUUGGACUUCCUCUUCGAAUCCGAGCCCAAAAGUCGUGGUGACCAGAGAUCGUGGGAAGAACGGCAAGCUCAUCCAAGCUCUGCAACGGCUUAGGUUCUGGCUUCUGAGCUUCCAAAGAAUGGGAUAAAGUGCAGAGUCUUAAAUCCUGCUUCUGCAAAAGCUAGUAAUGAUAUUGGACUGCUCCCUCAGGAAAGCUGAGAUCAUGGUUAGUGCCCGUUCUGGUUGGUAGCUUGGAACUGUAUGCCCAGCUCCCCUUACAGUAGUGAAUAUCACUCCUUUGUACCCAAUAACGUAUCCUCCAACCUGUCAUCAUCACCAUGUGCAAAAUAUUUAGCCUUUUUAUAUGGUGUGUAAUUUAGAGUUGCAAAUGACCAGGAUAUAUUUACCUCAUCACCAGAAUGCCACGGGCGCCAGCCGAUGUUAACCGGUAGCUUUAGUUUGUUUAUUGCAUACCUAGAGGAGGUUACUGGAACUCGUGCAUCUGUGUCCCCACUGCAGGUUCAUUUAACAGAAUGUUUAAGGUCCAUUGCAUAAAGGAGCAUAGAUGUUAUAUAUAUUGAGCUCACCGACCUCUUGGUCUCCCUGGCCUUGAUAUUGCUCACACUUACUGGAAAAGUUACCAGUAUUGAAAUCGCAAUACCUGUGAAUUCCGGCAUUGGUGUCGUCGGAGUUCAAAGCAUGUGUCCAGAAAUAAUCAUAUAUGCCCAGUAUACCUGUGUUAUCAUCUAUCCAAGCAUUCCCAAUCUGCAAUCCAUUCAAAUAUUGCAGAGAAGCAUUGAGUUUCGAGUGGACUCCACAAAGUAAUAGAACAGUGCUCUCCCAGCUUUAGGAUCCACCGUUACAUAGCCUGAAUACUGAUCAAAAUCUACUCCUUCUGGUUGUCCUGGCAAGGCAUCAAUCUUGUCAGCUUGCAUCAAC